AUUGAACGCUGGCGGCAGGCCUAACACAUGCAAGUCGAGCGGAGCGGCGGACGGGUGAGUAAUACCUAGGAAUCUGCCUGGUAGUGGGGGAUAACGUUCGGAAACGGACGCUAAUACCGCAUCCUAUCAGAUGAGCCUAGGUCGGAUUAGCUAGGUGGUGGGGUAAGGGCCCACCAAGGCGACGAGCCGUAACUGGUCGGAGAGGAUGAUCAGUAACACUGGAACUGAGACACGGUCCAGACUCCGACGGGAGGCAGCAGUGGGGAAUAUUGGACAAUGGGCGAAAGCCUGAUCCAGCCAGGCCGAGUGUAUGAAGAAGGUCUUCGGAUUGUAAAGUACUUUAAGUGGGGAGGCGUUACCCACAGAAUAAGCACCGGCUAACUUCGUGCCAGCAGCCGCGGUAAUUC
rnacentral:rRNA from 1 species